rnacentral:lncRNA from 1 species
UUCGUGUUUAAAACUUAUGGAGAGAACCCAGCAAACGAAGUACUGCGGUCGGAUGGCGGCAAAGACGUGCGUGGUGUAAACGAGUGCGUCUCUGUCAGGGGGAACGGAGAUGAGUUUUCGUUUUCCGCCCGUCAAUAAAGUACGAGCUACGCAAGCAGAAACAGGUUUUUUGCGACCGUACGCCAGAAGCAAAGGAAACUGGAAACUCUUUGCAGCUCUUGGAAAGAACCGAGGGAGGUCCGAGGGAACAAAGGGAGCGCUGCGAGAGCGAGAAAAGGGAAAUAGGAAAGGCGACAGGGGUUCCACAUCGUUUCCUCGCGUAACAUGGUUGCUUUUUGAUCUCGUCUUUAUUUACCUUUUUAGAAACUGCCUCCGCUGCACAGCAAUCAGAGAGUCACUUGCGAGUCUCAGCUGAAAAUUGAAGCGAACACUCACUUCACGGACGAUGGAUCGUCUAGUCAGCGGGAGCAAGGAUUUCGUACGUCGAAAAGCGUCACUUUGUGUCUCGAGGGAUCUCGCCUACAGGACAGGGGGAGAGUGUUUUUCUGCGCAGAAGCAGUCUUGUCUGUUUUAGUCCGGUUUUUAACAAACCCUCGUUUUAGUCUAGUGGAGGGACGGUAACACGGGAAAUCGAGGACCACGGUGAGCAUGCUUCUCGCGAAUUUGGACGGAAUGUGGCUCAAAUCAAGCGAAAACAUACUCAACUGGAUUAUCAAGUGUGCUUCCGUGUGUCUUGUUCGUAUCAGAAGCGACCUUGAUAAGCAAUUUUUUUAGACGGUUUUCAGCCUUGCUGUGUAAAAAGGCUAGUGUCUUCAACAACGUUGACUUACUCAGCAAGUACAAGUCACGCUGCUGCACCU